AUGGUGGUGCACUCGUGAUAGCCGAUUGUUAAAUCUUCAGGAAUUGUGUGAUCCAGUUGAUCAGUUUGAUAUUGGCUGUGGCGGAAGCAUUCACAUCACAGAAAUCAGCAAACACACAGAAAGAAGCACCAGGAGAUCCGAAAGUGAAUCAUAAAUGUGCUGGGAUUUCAGAAGUUGUUACUGGAUGCAGGAAUGGAGAGGACCUGGCUUGGAAAUUUCAAGUAAAGGGGUACCAGAGUUGAAUAGGGGAUCCAUGCCUGAACAACCAGUUAGAGAAAAUUAAGAGCCAAUUUUUUUCUGUUGCCGUGGUUUCAGCUCCCAU
rnacentral:lncRNA from 1 species